CCUACGGGAGGCAGCAGUGGGGAAUAUUGGACAAUGGGCGAAAGCCUGAUCCAGCAAUGCCGCGUGAGUGAUGAAGGCCUUAGGGUCGUAAAGCUCUUUUACCAGGGAUGAUAAUGACAGUACCUGGAGAAUAAGCUCCGGCUAACUCCGUGCCAGCAGCCGCGGUAAUACGGAGGGAGCUAGCGUUGUUCGGAAUUACUGGGCGUAAAGCGUACGUAGGCGGUUAUUCAAGUCAGAGGUGAAAGCCCGGGGCUCAACCCCGGAACGGCCUUUGAAACUAGAUAGCUAGAGUCUUGGAGAGGUCAGUGGAAUUCCGAGUGUAGAGGUGAAAUUCGUAGAUAUUCGGAAGAACACCAGUGGCGAAGGCGACUGACUGGACAAGUACUGACGCUGAGGUACGAAAGCGUGGGGAGCAAACAGGAUUAGAUACCCUGGUAGUCCACGCCGUAAACGAUGAUAACUAGCUGUCCGGGUACUUGGUAUCUGGGUGGCGCAGCUAACGCAUUAAGUUAUCCGCCUGGGGAGUACGGUCGUAAGAUUAAAACUCAAAGGAAUUGACGG
rnacentral:rRNA from 1 species